rnacentral:lncRNA from 1 species
GAGGUUCUACUGAAUUUUUAAUUUGGUUAGUCGAGUCCUUCAUUUUCAGAAUUUCUAUUAGUUCAUUUUUAGAAUCUGGCUUUAUUGAAAUCAUCCUCCACUUCCUGUAACUUCUCCAGGUUCAUUCCUUACAUCUUUAUUAGCUCUUUCAACAUUUUAACUAGGAGCUUUCUAAAUUCUUCUCCAACAUUUCCUCUGCUGUCGUGCCUACAGAGUCAGUUGUUGGAGUGCUGUGGGCUGUAUGGUUUGCUCCCUUGCUCUUUCCUGCUGCUUGUAGGUCUGCCCACCUUCUGGGUUGAUUAUCUUCUCUGCUUUGAUUCAAGGAAUUACUUAAUGAGCUUCUGUCUCUUAAGAGCCCAGGGAUGGGUGAAUAUCCAGCUACUGAUACUGUCAUUCAGUGUGCGUCCUCAGCUGUUCCCAGGAUCAGCACCAUUUGGAGAGAAGAUACUAAACCCUGUGAACUACAGUCACUUCUAAAAUAAUGUGAAAAGCAUAGUGUAGUAAGUGCAUAAGUCGUCACAUGAUCAUUGGAUGCCAUUUGUAUGUAGUAGGUCCUGCCGCUCCUUGUGACCCUACUGUUCAGUAACCAGCAGGGCAGCGGGUUUGUUCACAAGAGCAUCCCCACUACUGCAUGAGGAACGCUGCAGGGCAGCGCUGGGAGGCUGUGACGUCACCACUACUGCAUGAGAAACACAGAAGGGCAGAGCUGGGAGGAUGUGAGGUUCACCACUAAGGCAUGAGGAACUCCACAGGGCAGCGCUGGGAGGUUGUGACGUCACUGGGCAGCAGGCCCUCUCCAGCUCUGCUGUGGUCUAUGGGAGCACACACGCAGUCCGUGGCUGAAGCACCACAGUGCAGUGCCUGUUGCACAGCAGAAUCCACCGCCACUGGGCACAGGGGGCGUCCCGGGCCACGCCCAGACCUUGAUUGCUGCCCCGGGGACUCUCUCCUCCCCAGGUGCUGUGCGCGGUCACCGCGGGCGCCCUGCACUACCUCUACCUGGCCUCCUUCACCUGGAUGCUGCUGGAGGGGCUGUUCCUCUUCCUCACGGCGCGGAACCUGACUGUGCUCAGUUCCUCCAGCAGAAACAGGCUCAUGAGGAGGCUCAUGUUCCCUGUGGGCUACGGGGUCCCGG